rnacentral:rRNA from 1 species
GACGAACGCUGGCGGCGUGCCUAAUACAUGCAAGUAGAACGCUGAAGGAGGAGCUUGCUUCUCUGGAUGAGUUGCGAACGGGUGAGUAACGCGUAGGUAACCUGCCUGGUAGCGGGGGAUAACUAUUGGAAACGAUAGCUAAUACCGCAUAAGAGUAGAUGUUGCAUGACAUUUGCUUAAAAGGUGCAAUUGCAUCACUACCAGAUGGACCUGCGUUGUAUUAACUAGUUGGUGGGGUAACGGCUCACCAAGGCGACGAUACAUAGCCGACCUGAGAGGGUGAUCGGCCACACUGGGACUGAGACACGGCCCAGACUCCUACGGGAGGCAGCAGUAGGGAAUCUUCGGCAAUGGACGGAAGUCUGACCGAGCAACGCCGCGUGAGUGAAGAAGGUUUUCGGAUCGUAAAGCUCUGUUGUAAGAGAAGAACGAGUGUGAGAGUGGAAAGUUCACACUGUGACGGUAUCUUACCAGAAAGGGACGGCUAACUACGUG